rnacentral:rRNA from 1 species
AUAAUAAUUUGCCCUUUAAUUGGGGGAGAGAAUGAAUGGUUUGACGGUAAAAAAGCUGUUUUAAAAAUAAAAAAAGAAGUUAACUUUUAAGUGAAAAGGCUUAAGUUUUUAUAAAAGACGAGAAGACCCCGUCGAGCUUAAUUAAAAUAACUUAAAUGUAGGUUAUUUAAAAUUUUAUUGGGGCAAUAGAAAAUGAAAUGAAUCAUUUUUUUUUAUUAUAGGGAUCCAGUUUUGACUGAAAAAAGCAAAAGCUACCGCGGGGAUAACAGGGUAAUUUUUUCUGAGAGUUCAUAUUUAAGAAGAAGUUUGC